rnacentral:rRNA from 1 species
UACGUAGGGGGCAAGCGUUGUCCGGAAUCAUUGGGCGUAAAGAGCGCGUAGGCGGCCCUGUAAGUCCGCUGUGAAAGUCAAGGGCUCAACCCUUGGAUGCCGGUGGAUACUGCAGGGCUAGAGUCCGGAAGAGGCGAGUGGAAUUCCUGGUGUAGCGGUGAAAUGCGCAGAUAUCAGGAGGAACACCGGUGGCGAAGGCGGAUCUCUGGGCCGAUACUGACGCUGAGGAGCGAAAGCAUGGGGAGCGAACAGG